rnacentral:lncRNA from 1 species
GUGGCUAAGGUUGCAGUUUGGUACCAGUCUAUGUUUUUUUAGAAUAAAUUCACAGAACCACAGGUUUUGAGGCAGUCUUCUCACCGAGCCUACACUUCCACUAAUUUGUCCACAAAACCAUAUGUUUUGUGUCAAAUUGUCUCAACUCGUCCAAAAUGAACGCUUACGCGAUUUUGACAGUAUUUCUUACUUGUGGGUCCCGCAUGUCUAGGUGCCACGUCUUUUUCAUUGAACCCCUCGUUUUUUUUGUUUUUUUUUCCUCAUCCACUUGUCUUCUUGUACGGUGGCAUCUUCUCCCGGUUCCUCUGCAACCUCUCACUCCCGGUGAGCAAGGGAGUGUGGGCAGGUUUCGCAAAGGCAGGAAGGGACGGAGGAGUGUGGCAGUGAAAGAGCGAGCAGGGCAUCAAGGCAGGCGGUGAGGGCGGGGCAGCAGAGCGUGCGGCGGUGGGGGCAGGCCAUGGUGGAGCCGGAGGAUGAGAAGCUCAUGUGCACGAUAUAUGCUGGACGCGGUGUUCCCGUCGGUGGGUAGGUUGGUGUCCACCAUGGCGAAGCAGUUGGCUGCCGGAGUCAUAGAAAAAGACGAGGUGAUGAGGAAAAAAAAAAGAAAAAGGAAAGGGGUCUAAUGCAAAAGACGUGACGCCUGACAUGCGGGGCCCACAUGUAAGAAAUACUGCCAAAAUCGCUUGAAUCGUUAUUUUGGGCGAUGUAGGACAAUUUGAAACAAACCCAGUGAUUCUCUGGACAAAUUAGCAAAAGUGGGGCUCGGUGAGAAGACUACCUCAAAACACGUGGUUCUGUGAAAUUUACACUUUUUGUACAAAAACCACCGAAUAACACUAAGUGUCUGGUUGCUAGUGAAUAACCCCGAAACUAACAGGUGGAUCCACCUAUCAGGCCAACGUGGCGUGCCAGGGGGCAACUAACUGAACCGAGUCGGCCAUCUCUUUCCUUUCGGAAGGAUCCUGCCUCUUUGUUCCGGUUUGUCUUGCACGAAGGAGGCUGACAGUUUGAUGAGCAUUACAAAAUUGCAUGAAGUUUUAGCGAUGAUGAAAGUGCAUGAAAGGCAGC